AGUCGUAACAAGNUUUCCGUAGGUUGAACUGCGGAAGGAUCAUUA
rnacentral:rRNA from 1 species